rnacentral:rRNA from 1 species
UAGCUCACUAGUCGAGUCGGCCUGCGCGGAAGAUGUAACGGGGCUAAAACUAUGUGCCGAAGCUGCGGAUGUAUACUUUGUAUACGUGGUAGGGGAGCGUUCUGUAAGCCGAUGAAGGUGUGUUGAGAAGCAUGCUGGAGGUAUCAGAAGUGCGAAUGCUGACGUGAGUAACGACAAAACGGGUGAAAAACCCGUUCGCCGAAAGACCAAGGGUUCCAGUCCAACGUUAAUCGGGGCUGGGUGAGUCGACCCCUAAGGCGAGGCCGAAAGGCGUAGUCGAUGGGAAAAUGGUUAAUAUUCCAUUACUUCUGUGUAAUGCGAUGAGAGGACGGAGAAGGCUAAAUCAGCCUGGCGUUGGUUGUCCAGGUGAAAGGAUGUAGGCAUGUAUCUUAGGCAAAUCCGGGGUACUCUAUGCUGAGAUCUGAUAGCAAGCUGUACUUGUACAGCGAAGUGGUUGAUGCCAUGCUUCCAGGAAAAGUCUCUAAGCUUCAGUUACACAGGAAUCGUACCCGAAACCGACACAGGUGGUCAGGUCGAGUAGACCAAGGCGCUUGAGAGAACUCUGCUGAAGGAACUAGGCAAAAUGGUACCGUAACUUCGGGAGAAGGUACGCUGUUGUUGGUGAUGGAACUCGCUUCCUGAGCUGACGACAGCCGCAGAAACCAGGCCGCUGCAACUGUUUAUUAAAAACAUAGCACUCUGCAAACACGAAAGUGGACGUAUAGGGUGUGAUGCCUGCCCGGUGCUGGAAGGUUAAUUGAUGGGGUUAGCGUAAGCGAAGCUCUUGAUCGAAGCCCCAGUAAACGGCGGCCGUAACUAUAACGGUCCUAAGGUAGCGAAAUUCCUUGUCGGGUAAGUUCCGACCUGCACGAAUGGCAUAAUGAUGGCGGCGCUGUCUCCAGCAGAGGCUCAGUGAAAUCGAAAUCGCUGUGAAGAUGCAGUGUACCCGCGGCUAGACGGAAAGACCCCGUGAACCUUUACUGCAGCUUGACACUGAACUUUGACCUUACUUGUGUAGGAUAGGUGGGAGGCUUUGAAGCUGGAACGCUAGUUCCAGUGGAGCCGUCCUUGAAAUACCACCCUGGUAAUGUUGAGGUUCUAACUCUGUCCCGUGAUCCGGGACGAGGACCGUGUCUGGUGGGUAGUUUGACUGGGGCGGUCUCCUCCUAAAGAGUAACGGAGGAGUACGAAGGUGCGCUCAGCGUGGUCGGAAAUCACGCGUAGAGUAUAAAGGCAAAAGCGCGCUUAACUGCGAGACCCACAAGUCGAGCAGGUACGAAAGUAGGUCUUAGUGAUCCGGUGGUUCUGUAUGGAAGGGCCAUCGCUCAACGGAUAAAAGGUACUCUGGGGAUAACAGGCUGAUACCGCCCAAGAGUUCAUAUCGACGGCGGUGUUUGGCACCUCGAUGUCGGCUCAUCUCAUCCUGGGGCUGAAGCAGGUCCCAAGGGUAUGGCUGUUCGCCAUUUAAAGAGGUACGCGAGCUGGGUUUAGAACGUCGUGAGACAGUUCGGUCCCUAUCUACCGUGGGCGCUGGAAAUUUGAGAGGAUCUGCUCCUAGUACGAGAGGACCAGAGUGGACGAACCUCUGGUGUACCGGUUGUGACGCCAGUCGCAUCGCCGGGUAGCUAUGUUCGGAAGGGAUAACCGCUGAAAGCAUCUAAGCGGGAAGCCUACCUCAAGAUAAGAUUUCCCUAGGACUUUAUGUCCUCUAAAGAGCCGUUCGAGACUAGGACGUUGAUAGGUUGGAUGUGGAAGCAUAGUGAUAUGUGAAGCUGACCAAUACUAAUUGCUCGUGAGGCUUGACUAUACAACACCCAAGCAGUUG